UCCAGGGUAGCCUAGUGGACAUGGCACCUGCCCGGUAAGCAGAAGGUUGUGGGUUCGAUUCCCGCCCCUGGGC